UACGGAGGGUGCAAACGUUGCUCGGAAUCAUUGGGCGUAAAGCGCACGUAGGCGGCCUGUUAAGUCGGGUGUGAAAGCCCUGGGCUCAACCCAGGAAGUGCACUCGAAACUGGCGGGCUUGAAUAUGGAAGAGGGUCGCGGAAUUCCGGGUGGAGUGGGUGAAAUGCGUAGAGAUCCGGAGGAACACCAAAGGCGAAGGCAGUGUCCUGGGGAGUACCUGACGCUCAGGUGCGAAAGCCAGGGGAGCGAACGGG
rnacentral:rRNA from 1 species